GUUCGGGAACUCGGCGGCAACCACAAGAAAGAUGAAGGCGAGUCAUCCAGACAUGCCUGUGUUUGUCCUUCUUGUACUGUACUUGUACAGGCACUUUUGGAAAUCACAAAUCAAUACCUUAAGAGAAGGAACCUGGCGAAUGAUGCUAUUUUGGAUCCAACACAUCUCAGACGGCAACAUAGCAAUGUCGAGCGACCGUUUUGGAUAAAACCUGAAAGAACGGCAGCCUGGUGGGAUGUUUGUCACGAGUGUGUUGUGUCAGAGGAACGGCAAGAGAACUUUCUAAUGUCCAGGACACAUUGGGAAGACUAUGUCUCCCGGCUGGCCUGGGAACGCCUCGGGAUCCCCAGGGAAGAGCUAGACGAAUUGGCUAGGGAGAGGGAAGUCUGGGCUUCCUUGUUUAGGCUGCUACCCCCGCGACCCGACCUCGAAUAAGCGAAAGAAGAUGGAUGGAUGGAUGGAUGUUUGUUUACUUACUACUAAAAGACAAGUUGUCUAGUAUGUUCACUAUUUUAUUUAAGGACUUCACUGUAUUAAGAAACAUGUUUGAUGUACCCUAAGAUUUUUUUGUUAAAAUAAAGCCAAUAAUGCAA